UACGGGGGGGGCAAGCGUUGUUCGGAAUUACUGGGCGUAAAGGGCGCGUAGGCGGCCUGCUAAGUCGAACGUGAAAUCCCUGGGCUCAACCCAGGAACUGCGUCCGAUACUGGUUGGCUUGAAUCCGGGAGAGGGAUGCGGAAUUCCAGGUGUAGCGGUGAAAUGCGUAGAUAUCUGGAGGAACACCGGUGGCGAAGGCGGCAUCCUGGACCGAGAUUGACGCUGAGGCGCGAAAGCCAGGGGAGCAAACGGG
rnacentral:rRNA from 1 species